GGUCUGUGUGUGUUUAAUGAGUGUGGUGUAUAGUAUAUAUGUAGGGUAACGCUGUGGAGGUCUGUGUGUGUUUAAUGAGUGUGGUGUAUAGUAUAUAUGUAGGGUAACGCUGUGGAGGUCUGUGUGUGUUUAAUGAGUGUGGUGUAUAGUAUAUAUGUAGGGUAACGCUGUGGAGGUCUGUGUGUGUUUAAUGAGUGUGGUGUAUAGUAUAUAUGUAGGGUAACGCUGUGGAGGUCUGUGUGUGUUUAAU